UACAGAGGGGGCAAGCGUUGUUCGGAAUUACUGGGCGUAAAGGGCGCGUAGGCGGCAAUUCAAGUCAUCUGUGAAAUCUCCGAGCUUAACUCGGAACGGUCAGAUGAUACUGCUUUGCUAGAGUGCAGAAGGGGCAACCGGAAUUCUUGGUGUAGCGGUGAAAUGCGUAGAUAUCAAGAGGAACACCGGAGGUGAAGACGGGUUGCUGGGCUGACACUGACGCUGAGGCGCGAAAGCUAGGGUAGCAAACGGG
rnacentral:rRNA from 1 species